rnacentral:rRNA from 1 species
UACGUAGGGUGCGAGCGUUAAUCGGAAUUACUGGGCGUAAAGCGUGCGUAGGCGGUUCGUUAUGUCUGCUGUGAAAGCCCCGGGCUUAACCUGGGAAUGGCAGUGGAAACUGGCGGGCUUGAGUGUGGCGGAGGGGGGUGGAAUUCCGCGUGUAGCAGUGAAAUGCGUAGAGAUGCGGAGGAACACCGAUGGCGAAGGCAGCCCCCUGGGCUGACACUGACGCUGAGGCACGAAAGCGUGGGGAGCAAACAGG